UCCAUAGUUAGCGCCUUACCACCGAGACCAGAGAUAGUGAUACCCUGAGUCGGCCUUACUUAGGGAUGUAAAGAAUGAAAGAAUCAAGUUGUAAUAAUUAUAUUAAAUCGGAUUGUAUUUGGAAGUUAAAUGUAAUAAGUAUUUGGGAUGUAAAAUGUAUGAAUGUGAAUGCAUGUAAUAACAUAGGAUGUGUUAUGUUGUUUGAUACCUUCCAUUAUGCAAUCUUGAUUGAAAUGUGUUCCUGGUUGGAACUUCGUACAUUGUGUUGAUUGCUAUGCCUUGAACGUACAGGGGAGACUCUGUCCGCAGUACAGGGGAAACCCUGUCCGUUCGGCGAUCUGUUGGCGGCACCGCGAUCCGGCCAAAUAGGCGGGCGGUCGCGGGGCGUGACAGAUAAGAUGGUAUCAGAGCAUAAAGAGAAUAUAAAAAGAAUAAUAGAAAAUGGUUUAGUUGGACCUAGGAGUCCCUAGGAUAGUAAACCAUAGGAGAUUAAGGCUCGUGAGAGACGAGGACUUGUUUCUUUUGGCGAAAAGUUAACUGAUUGGGUUGUGUCAUAAACCUCUAAAACGGAUGUUAGAGGUAGACUCAAGGUGUGGUUUAUUCUCAACAGAGAGUGUUCAUGUUGGGUGCACACAACAUGAAGCUAAGUGAUGAGAAUAGACACCCUUGCGUGACUUUCGCCUGAUUUGAGUCGGUAUUAAGUGUUUCGUGUUCGACCUAGAAGGUCGAGGAUUUAUAAAGUUGUCGCGUUUUAGAAAGCGAUAGCACUGCGUAGGCGAUUUGAGGCGAGCGUAGACUUGGAACUUCGCGAGUUAUGGCAACUCUCAUGACCUUUGAGAAAUUAACGGAAUCCUCGUCGUGUUAGAUCACUUUUGGUCAAAUUGACCAAAGUCCGUCGAGAGAAGUAGUUGGACAAAGUCCAAUUGACAUUCCAACAAUGUUGGAAGGGUUGGAAUUGAGUUCUAAAAGAGUUAGAAGGGUUUUGGCGUUGCUCGGCACGAAUUGGAGUCGAAGCGAUGCAAAAUCGAAAUUCUGGAAUAUGUGUUACCAGUUUAACACCAGGGGUGUACCGGUAUGGCAUGGUUGUAAUGGAGUGAAUUCUCGAGAGCCGAGAGUUGGACUUCGUCCGGGAUCGGCUAGUUAUCGAGUGGGUAUGUAAUAUACCGAAAUUUCGGUAACAAAGUUUCGAACCUUGGUCAAAUUGACCAAAGAGCGAGAUUGGUACGCUUUGGAAAGGCCGAAGGCGUCAAAUAAUGCAAAAGUGCAUUACUGGGGAUCUUCGAGAGCCUUGGAAAUCAAAAUCUGCAAACUGCAGGUUUUCUGUUCUCGGAGACCGGUCCCUGUGGGGAGAGACCGGUCCCCGAACGCGCAGGCAGCAAGAGGAGAGAAAAAUCGGCUAAGUCCUUGGUGGACAGCUCUCGGAGACCGGUCCCUGCUGGAGAGACCGGUCCCCCAAAGAAAGACCGGUUGCAUCAGGUGUGAGCUCUGCUAACUGCGGGGAGAAGCUCUCGGAGACCGGUCCCUCGUCGGGGAGACCGGUCCCCGAACCCAAAAAUGCCCAGUGAGGGCAAUGUAAAAGAAUAAAAGUUGAGGGGCUUGUUUGCACUUACACAACAUGUGGG
rnacentral:lncRNA from 1 species